UUAGGACUUGAAAUACGGAUGUCAUUAUAUAAUCUUAGUUGAUUAAAAAAAGGCAUGAAAACCAUAUUGAAACAGCAGAUUCCAUGGAAAAAGAGAAUACAUCAAAGGAUUUGUUUAGCAAUUUACCAAAAGAAAUUAUUGGGCGCAUAGUUUCUUUUCUACCAAAUGAAUCAUCAAUGGAAACCAUCCUCAUAUCUACAAGGUGGAGAGACUUAUGGAAUGAAACUAUUGUUAGAUAUGGAACAAAAGAAGAAAUCACUAGUGUUGUUACUAAAUUUCUUACAAGUUUUGAUGAUUUGGAUCCCUUAAAGCAUCCAAGAAAGCUUCAAUUCCACUAUGAAGAUAAAGUACUAUUAGCUACUAUUGCAAAUAAUAGUAAGCUUCUACUAGAUUUCUCUCCUUUGAAGAAAGAGUUCAUUGAAAAUAUUCAAAUGCAUUUUGAGCUUCAUUUCAAGCUCAAUAACCAACAAAAGAUAAGCUACAAAUCUUUUACUUGCAAUAUUUUCUCACUCAAAUCUCUCUAUUUGAAAUCAAUAAGCUAUUUGACUAGUGAGGUAGCUUCAUCCAUUAUUUCAAGUUUGGAUCAUCUUGAGAAUUUGGUAAUCAUUUCAUGUAAUGGAUUGCAAUCUUUGAGCAUUGACUCCAAUUUUGAGCUUCACAAGUUAACUAUCUUGGAUUGCUUACAAUUGAAAUAUCUUCACCUUAAAACUUCUAAACUCAAAUCAUUUCAAUUUAGAGGACCUCUUCCUUGGAUUUUGCCUGAAUUUCAUUUCAACCUUAGUGAUGCAAUGCUUGAUUUUAGAUUAGGACCAAGCUGUGGUAACUUUAAGACUAAGGAUUUUGAUGCAACUUUAUUGACUAUAAAGAACUCUCAAGUUCUUACACUUUGCAGAUGGACUUUUGAGGUUUUACUUUGCAGGAACUAAUAUGGCCAUCAAUUUGUCCUCCAUAUGGAUGCUUUAAUUUCUAUAACUUGAGAGAGUUAUGGUGGAUUGAUAACUAUAAAGAUGAAUAUUGCAUGGAUGCCUUAUUCUCCUUCUUGAAAUUAUGUCCUUCCUUGGAGCAACUUUUUGUUACCAUUGAUGCUAAAAGUUAUUCAACUGGAAGGUCCGUUUCAUGGUUCAUGCAAGCAACUAAAUGCACAAAAUUAGAACAUGUAAAUUUGAUAAAGUUUAUGGGAUUUACAAGUCGAAAAGAUGAAAUUUCAUUGGCAAAAUGUUUAAUUCAUCUAAUCAAGGGAAAACUUCCAAAGAUAAACAUAUCAGAUGGGAGUUGCUUGGACGAGUUUUUGAAGUGAUUAUUCACAUCAACCACAUUAAACUCAGACUUUCUUCAAGUAGCAAAGAAAGGAGAAUAAUAAAUAAUAAAUUUCUCACGGAUGUAAGCAAGAUAUUACAAAUGAAUUAUCCAGUUAUAUUUUUUUUCUUCCAUUUUUUAUAUUUUUAUUUCUAUUUGAUUUGAUCAAUUUUGUGGAGAAGCAGAGCAAGUGAUGUAAUCUAAUCAUUUUUCUUACAAUAUAGUCUUAUCGUUUUGAUCCAAAAUGUACAAGAAAUCUUAUUAAGAAU